rnacentral:lncRNA from 1 species
UUGAUUCUUCUUUCUUCGACUUCCAGGUUGUAUAGUCUCUUGUCUACUUGCCAAUAAUCAAGUCAAUUAUUGGCUUGAUUUAUGUGUGUUAUUGUCAGACAUGACUGCAUGGGUUGUGUUUAUGAACUGUUUGAGAUGAUGCAUGGGUAGGAGGAACCUUGACUCCUUCAUUUAGCUGUCUUUUUAGGGCAAAGAAGAUGAGAUGGUGGAGUCCUGACAGAGUAGCUUAGGGAGCAUAUCUGCAAAUGGUUGUGAUAAGAACAAGGACAGUGGCCACAAUGUAGGUGGUGUGCUAUGGAAACAUCACAGCUGAUGAACUCACAGUAAGUUGAAAGCAACUUGAUGAAUCUUUGCGGCUGGUGGAGUCAUGGAUGAGGAUGAACAAGUAUGUGCCAUCAGCUUUGAAACUUGGAAGGUUUCUUUGCACGAGAUCAACGAUGAUCUACAUGAAGCAUGGAACUGUUCACUGGUAUGAGAUGAUGACAUGAACUGAUGCUUAGUUGAUAGCAGAUGGGAUGAUCCAAUGAAGCUCUCCAUCUUCUUCAAACUUGGGACUCCAAACUGUGUCACUGAACAUGCAGCAAAUGGAGAAGAAAUCCAAGGGAGAGACAUCACAUCAUGUGUAUUCCAACACAGUAGUAUGAGAAGAUUACAACUCCAUUGUUGACCCCCAACAACUCAUGAGGAAGCACAGAAAGGCAUACUAAGGACACAUAGAUUUGAGGCCUUUGAUAAUAUGUUUUCUAAGGGGGCAAAAAAAAAAGUGAUCAUUUUACAAUGAGAGCAUAAUGUUUAAAUUCUAAUCAAUAUUAAUUUUUUUUUAUUUAAGAAUAUUUUAUAUGGUCCCCAAAUACAGAAACACUUCUCUCCAAGUGAUGAGGGAUAGAUACAAGCAAUUCUUAGGUUGAAACUUCUGUAGAUAUAUAUAUACCCAACCUAUUACAUUAGCAGUAGUGAUGUUCUCUUGCUGGCUUCUGAGCUUAAUGUGGAUUAGAUAGUUGAUUUCCAAUCAAUGGGCAAAUAGCUAUGAUAAUUAUCAUUAAAAGAUAAUAAUACAGGUACGGUCAGCCUCUACCAUCAACCUACAGGUUUAUGAAAAUUGUCAUAAAAAAAAAAAUCUUCUAAGCUACAGUUUAAGAUCCUAAAAAACCUAAAAACGCAUCGAGCACUCUUAUCAUGCAACAAGACGAUACAGCAGUAAGACGGUGAGUACCAUUUUCUUCCUCUCCUUUAAUAUACCGACACAUAAUACACCGAUAUGAAUUAAACUCGAUCAUGAGUCAACAUAGA